GAUGAACGCUGGCGGCGUGCCUAAUACAUGCAAGUCGAGCGAACAGACGAGGAGCUUGCUCCUCUGACGUUAGCGGCGGACGGGUGAGUAACACGUGAUAACCUACCUAUAAGACUGGGAUAACUUCGGGAAACCGGAGCUAAUACCGGAUAACAUGUUGAACCGCAUGGUUCAACAGUGAAAGACGGUCUUGCUGUCACUUAUAGAUGGAUCCGCGCCGCAUUAGCUAGUUGGUAAGGUAACGGCUUACCAAGGCAACGAUGCGUAGCCGACCUGAGAGGGUGAUCGGCCACACUGGAACUGAGACACGGUCCAGACUCCUACGGGAGGCAGCAGUAGGGAAUCUUCCGCAAUGGGCGAAAGCCUGACGGAGCAACGCCGCGUGAGUGAAGAAGGUCUUCGGAUCGUAAAACUCUGUUAUUAGGGAAGAACAAAUGUGUAAGUAACUAUGCACGUCUUGACGGUACCUAAUCAGAAAGCCACGGCUAACUACGUG
rnacentral:rRNA from 1 species